AAUAACAAAGGUUAAACGCUUUCAAAGAUUAUAAGACUUUGAGAGUGAUAAAAUCAUGAUUGAAAAGGGGUAUGGAGAUGGGAACAAUCAUUUGUCAAAACUGCAACUCUACUAUCGGUCAUAUUGAGGUAGAAAAAGUGACAACAUUAUAUGGUAAAUGUAAUCAUCAUAAUUGCUGCAAAGAAGAUCAGAAAAUAAAUGUUGUCGAGGUCA
rnacentral:sRNA from 1 species